UCAACCAUCAAGCCCUGCUUGGUAUUGGGUGCCGUCCCUGCUGCGGACGCUCCCUAAAGUAAUCGGCGGUGGUGUUGAACCUCAAGCGUAGUAGAAUCUCCAGCUUUCUAGGUGAGACGCCGCUCGGCCUCGAGAAACCCUCAUCUCAA
rnacentral:misc_RNA from 1 species